AGUGAACGCUGGCGGUAGGCCUAACACAUGCAAGUCGAACGGCAGCACAGUAAGAGCUUGCUCUUACGGGUGGCGGGUGGCGGACGGGUGAGGAAUACAUCGGAAUCUACUUUUUCGUGGGGGAUAACGUAGGGAAACUUACGCUAAUACCGCAUACGACCUACGGGUGAAAGCAGGGGAUCUUCGGACCUUGCGCGAUUGAAUGAGCCGAUGUCGGAUUAGCUAGUUGGCGGGGUAAAGGCCCACCAAGGCGACGAUCCGUAGCUGGUCUGAGAGGAUGAUCAGCCACACUGGAACUGAGACACGGUCCCGACUCCUACGGGAGGCAGCAGUGGGGAAUAUUGGACAAUGGGCGCAAGCCUGAUCCAGCCAUACCGCGUGGGUGAAGAAGGCCUUCGGGUUGUAAAGCCCUUUUGUUGGGAAAGAAAAGCAGCAGGUUAAUACCCCGCUGUUCUGACGGUACCCAAAGAAUAAGCACCGGCUAACUUCGUG
rnacentral:rRNA from 1 species